rnacentral:rRNA from 1 species
ACUUAAAUUGAAGAGUUUGAUCAUGGCUCAGAUUGAACGCUGGCGGCAGGCCUAACACAUGCAAGUCGAACGGUAGCACAGAGAGCUUGCUCUCGGGUGACGAGUGGCGGACGGGUGAGUAAUGUCUGGGAAACUGCCUGAUGGAGGGGGAUAACUACUGGAAACGGUGGCUAAUACCGCAUAACGUCGCAAGACCAAAGAGGGGGACCUUCGGGCCUCUUG